rnacentral:rRNA from 1 species
GACGAACGCUGGCGGCGGGCUUAACACAUGCAAGUCGAACGGAAAGGCCCUGCUUUUUUGUGGUGCUCGAGUGGCGAACGGGUGAGUAACACGGGAGUAACCUGCCCUGUACUUUGGGAUAACUUCAGGAAACUGGUGCUAAUACCUGAUAGGAGCUCCUGCUGCAUGGUGGGGGUUGGAAAGUUUCGGCGGUUGGGGAUGGACUCGCGGCUUAUCAGCUUGUUGGUGGGGUAGUGGCUUACCAAGGCUUUGACGGGUAGCCGGCAUGAGAGGGUGACCGGCCACAUUGGGACUGAGAUACGGCCCAGACUCCUACGGGAGGCAGCAGUGGGGAAUAUUGCACAAUGGGCGGAAGCCUGAUGCAGCAACGCCGCGUGCGGGAUGACGGCCUUCGGGUUGUAAACCGCUUUAGCCUGUGACGAAGCGUGAGUGACGGUAAUGGGUAAAGAAGCACCGGCUAACUACGUG